rnacentral:rRNA from 1 species
GUGCAGCCGCCGCGGUAAUACCGGCAGCCCGAGUGAUGGCCGAUCUUAUUGGGCCUAAAGCGUCCGUAGCCAGCCGAACAAGUCCGUUGGGAAAUCCACCCGCCUAACGGGUGGGCGUCCAGCGGAAACUGUCCGGCUUGGGGCCGAACGACCCGAGGGGUACGUCCGGGGUAGGAGUGAAAUCCUGUAAUCCUGGACGGACCGCCGGUGGCGAAAGCGCCUCGGGAGGACGGACCCGACGGUGAGGGACGAAAGCUAAGAUCGCGAACCGGAUUAGAUACCCUGGUAGUCC